rnacentral:rRNA from 1 species
CGUAGGCGGUUUACUAAGUCAGAUGUGAAAGCCCCGGGCUUAACCUGGGAACUGCAUUUGAUACUGGUAGGCUAGAGUAUGAUAGAGGGGGGUAGAAUUCCUGGUGUAGCGGUGAAAUGCGUAGAUAUCAGGAGGAAUACCAGUGGCGAAGGCGGCCCCCUGGAUCAAUACUGACGCUGAGGUACGAAAGCGUGGGUAGCGAACA